AGCAAGGAAGCACCUUGGAGGUGCCAAGAACUCUUCAUAGAUGGUCCCCUUGUGGAGCAGUGAUGGAUUCGAGAAGGCUGUGAGAACAACACCACAGACUCAGGGGCUGAUGAACAAGAUGGCACCUGCCGUCUGCCAGACCCUGUGCUGGAUACAGUAGUGAGCAGGCAGCAGUCAGAGCCCAUCCUCACGGAGCCAAGUGGGGAAGCCACGUGAGUCAGGAUGAUCCGAGAAGGCUUGUCUCGGGAGUUAACUGGAUCAAAGGACUUUCUGGGGCCACAGGGUUAUUAUCAAGCAUCCAGGAAAUCCUCUGCUGAGCCAGCCCUGAAGGUAGUCCGGACAAUGCGUACCGACUAGGCCCUGGUAAAUAUUUAUUAAAUGUAUGAAUGAAUGAGCCACCUCAUAUAUUUCAAAUUAUGUAAAUACCAUUGAAUUUAUAUUAACUAUUGCUGUAUAACAAACUACUCCUAAACGUAAUGGCUUAAAACAACAACGAUCUGGGAUUCCCGUCGUGGCUCAGGGGUUGACAAACCCGACUAGUAUCCAUGAGGACACAGGUUCUAUCUCUGGCCUUGCUCAGCGGUUAAGGAUGUGGCAUUGCCGUGAGCUAUGGUGUAGGUCGCAGACACAGCUCUGAUUCCACCCCAAGCCUGAGAACUUCCAUAUGCUGCGGGUGUGAUGCAAAAAAAAAAAAAAAAAAGACCAAAAAAAACCCC
rnacentral:lncRNA from 1 species